GGCGGGUUGAGGCUAUGGAGGCCCGGGAGGAGCGGGUGCCUGGAAUUGAGUCAUGGUAUCAGCUCCCUGCAGAAGUGGAUGUCAGCCGGUUAACUGCUGCCUCAGAGACCAAGCUUGGCCUGACUGGUGAUAGAAACGACUUGACAGAGUUCCCUACCCUGGAGGAAGGAGUGUUGCCUUCAGCAGAAGUAUCUAGAAGGCAGUCUCCUGGAGAUACAGCACAUGGCUUACAAAUGGCUUGACUCUGGCAUUCAGACUUGUCAGCAGGCUGGAAGAUGAAGUAGCAUGCCCAGCUUUGCUUGUGCAGGGAAUUCAACUGUGAGGAAGCUUCUGACCUUCAGAGCGACAGCGGGAAGAGUCACUGUUUUGACACGAGAUGCUCGAGAAGUGCUGUACUGACGUCACUCGUUGCUUUAAGCAUCCAGCACCUGCUUCUCUGCCUGCAAAACCUGGGUUAUGUCUGAGCAAAAUGAGCCCCUAAAUCAUAGAAAGCAUCCAGAAUGUGAUAGCCCUGAUCUU